CAAAAAUUAAAGGUGAAGUCUCAGCAGAAAUCUGAAAUGGAGUCAAUGGACUAAAAUCGAGAUGUCUGCAGGUUGUGCUCCUUCUGUGGACUCUAGGGAGUAAUGCAUUUCCUUGUCUUUUCCACAUUAGAGAUACCUACAGUUCUUGGCUCACAGCUCCUUCCUCCAUCUUCAACGUCAGCUAAGAUAGGUAGAUAGAGUUCUCACAUCACAUUGCAUUAUUCUGACCAACCUUCAGUCUCUAUCUUUCCAUUUUAUUUUAUUUAUCUUCCCUUGUUAUUACAUUGGACUUACCUGAGCAGUCCAAGAUAAUCUCCAUAUUAUCAAGUCAGUUCAUUACCAACAUUAAUGUUAUCUGCAACCUAAAUUGCCCUUUUGUCAUGAAAGGUGGCAUAUUCACAGGUUCUGGGGAAUAGUAGAUGGCCAUAUUUGGGGCGGUCUUCGUUCUGCCUACCACUGAAGGCUAAAUGUUAAUCCAAAGAACAAAAUGGAAGAGAAAGUAAAAAAUGCAACACUGAGGAUUGAAAAUGUGUUUUAAUUCACAAUGAUACAAAAGAAGGAGAUACCACACACACAGAGGAAAUUCUACGUAACAAGGAUUUACCAGAAGAGUGAAGCCCCGAACUACAAGCCAUGACCUACGACAUUCCUCCCUUUGGGAAGUGUUCCCAUGUAACAUCCUUGAGUAGGUUGUCCUCUGGUCCUGCAUUCUGCCUCAGUGACACCCAUCAUCUACAUCUGGAUUCCUUAUUAUUGUCUUCUACAUAGUUUUAACAACAUUGUGAUUAAAUUUCUCAUGCUUUCAGGAAAGUCCAUUGAUGUUUUAUGCUUGGUAAUUUGUAUAAUUUCUAAGUUUCUUCUCAUGUACCACAAGGUCAUCCUCACAGGGACACCUCAGGAAUUCUAGUGCUGGCUCAGC
rnacentral:lncRNA from 10 species